rnacentral:rRNA from 1 species
AUUGAACGCUGGCGGCAUGCCUUACACAUGCAAGUCGAACGGCAGCACGGGAGCAAUCCUGGUGGCGAGUGGCGAACGGGUGAGUAAUAUAUCGGAACGUGCCCAGUCGUGGGGGAUAACGUAGCGAAAGCUACGCUAAUACCGCAUACGAUCUAUGGAUGAAAGCGGGGGAUCGCAAGACCUCGCGCGAGUGGAGCGGCCGAUAUCAGAGUAGGUAGUUGGUGGGGUAAAGGCUCACCAAGCCGACGAUCUGGAGCAGGUCUGAGAGGACGACCAGCCACACUGGGACUGAGACACGGCCCAGACUCCUACGGGAGGCAGCAGUGGGGAAUUUUGGACAAUGGGCGCAAGCCUGAUCCAGCAAUGCCGCGUGCAGGAUGAAGGCCUUCGGGUUGUAAACUGCUUUUGUACGGAGCGAAAAGGCUUCCACUAAUACUGGGGGCUCAUGACGGUACCGUAAGAAUAAGCACCGGCUAACUACGUGCCAGCCGCCGCGGUAACAC